rnacentral:rRNA from 1 species
GGCUGCAACUCGCCUACAUGAAGUCGGAAUCGCUAGUAAUCGCGGAUCAGCAUGCCGCGGUGAAUACGUUCCCGGGCCUUGUACACACCGCCCGUCACACCAUGAGAGUUUGUAACACCCAAAGCUGGUGGGGUAACCUUUUGGAGCCAGCCGUCUAAGGUGGGACAGAUGAUUGGGGUGAAGUCGUAACAAGGUACC